rnacentral:rRNA from 1 species
CUGCGCCACAAGUGGGAAUCAUAUUUAUUGGGCCUAAAGCAUCCGUAGCCGGCGCUGUAAGUUUUCGGUUAAAUCUGUACGCUCAACGUACAGGCUGCCGGGAAUACUGCAGCGCUAGGGAGUGGGAGAGGUAGACGGUACUCGGUAGGAAGGGGUAAAAUCCUUUGAUCUAUUGAUGACCACCUGUGGCGAAGGCGGUCUACCAGAACACGUCCGACGGUGAGGGAUGAAAGCUGGGGGAGCAAACCGGAUUAGAGACCCGAGUAGUCC